rnacentral:tRNA from 2 species
GAGGUCGUGGAGUAACGGUUUAACUCGCCUAUACUUUGUAUAGGAGAUGGGGGUUCGAUUCCCUUCGACC